rnacentral:lncRNA from 1 species
AUGUUUCAAUUGAAUCUCUUUUUCUGCAGUUUGAAUCCAUUGCUCCAUGGUGUUCUAAUCUUUAGAGCAGAAAACAAGCUUGGCCCCUUCUCAAUGUUACAUCCUUUCAAAUAUUUUAACAUAGCUAUUAUGUCCCCUCUCAACCUUCUCUUCUCUAAGUUAAACAUCCCCAUUUCCAUAAGCCACUCCUCAAUGUUACAUCCUUUCAAAUAUUUUAACAUAGCUAUUAUGUCCCCUCUCAACCUUCUCUUCUCUAAGUUAAACAUCCCCAUUUCCAUAAGCCACUCCUCAUUGAGCAGUGGUUCCCAGCCUGUGGUCCGUGGACCAGCAGUAGUCCCCAAGAACUAAAAUAUGGUAUGCAGCCUCACCGUUACUACACCAUUGCAAUGACAGUGACUGGUCUUGCAAAACCCUCUUAUAGUGCCGAGGCAACGGGAAUGUAAGGAGGGGAGUGUGAUGUCUCAUGGGCCUUGUAGUCCCGUUCCUAGUACUAUUGUGGCAGACGAAGAGGAAAACAUGGGAUUUACACCGUUUCAGCCAGAAACGGAGCCCUUGCACCUGGAGGAUGUUUGCCCUCAAGAAGUCAGCCAAACAAGCCUUGGGCAGAAUUCUCCCCCGUUUUCUCGUAAAAAUAAUUAUAAUAAAGAUAGAGGCGCUAGGGAGGCGAAUCGCCGAAGCGCCAGAAUCGCAGCCAAACAAUUAGCUGAUUAGGUCUGCUUCCCUUGGGAAAUUCUAAGGAGUUUUGCAUCUGGACUAAGUUGAGUUUCACUUCUAGUUCUCCAGGGAAAGUGUUCUUCUGGCGGGAAACGAGACCCUAUUUAGGUGUUUGCCGCAAAGGAAACUUUGCGGAGUCAAUUCGACAGCUGGAGGAGUGAGAUCGUGUGUAGACUUCGUACUCCAGUUCCCUGUUUCCCGGAUCAAGUUUCCAGCCUUGCCUUGUCCCGCGUUUACCACGGACCUUGUUUUUGCUCUUGUUGCCUUGUUUCGAGUCUUGUUCUAGCCAAGUAUCAAGUUUGCUUCCAGCCUAUUUGCCAAGUUUCUAUGGACUUAAGGACCUUGUCUUCUCCCCACACUUUGCUUGGCAAAGUGUGUGUUUCGGUUAUUGGAUUAUAACUUUGGACUUUAAUAUCACAUAUUGGACAUUAUUUUCCUGGACUAUAUUUGACCUUUCCUGAAAGGUCUACUUCUGAACUAUAUUCUACACUUGUUUUUAUUGACUUUAUAUAUUUUCUUAAUAAAGAUAUUAGAUAGAUUCUGGUCUCUGCGCAUGGUUAUUGGUGCUCUGCAGCCAGGGUCCUGACAGGGAGAAGCUGACUACCCACGAAAGGCAGGCGCAACAACAAGCCUCCUGACUGCUGCUUCUCCUCCUCCUUCCCCCAUUCCAUGUGGUGCCUGGAAGCGGGGGUGCCUUGGGGUCUUCGUUUUGAGACCCGUUCCUGGGAUUAUUUGGGGUGCUGAUUCAGAACAUUGCAUUGGAUAGACCACAUCAACUCUGGAUUAUUAAAUAUGGUUUUCUAUGGGCGAGCAGAUGGUGACUAUUGGAUGGCAUAUGUUCUGUAUCAGAAACUAGAGCUGAUGUGGUCUAUCCAAUGCAGUUUUCUGAACCAGCACCCCAAAUAACCAAACUGAAUCUAAAGUUGACCAAAAACUGAUUUGUAACCCUUUUGGUACUAAUGUUGGCGAAUGGUCCCCAGUUCAAAUGGUCCCUGGUCAACAAAGGUUGGGAACCACUUUCAUAGAGCUUAGCUUCCAGACCUUGCAUCAUUUUAGCCACCAUUCUUGGUUGUUAAUUAUUUUGAAUUGUUGGGUUUCUACUGGAAGAUCAAUAUCAAAUUCCCUGAAUGGGCACAGAGCUUAAAUUUUUUUUUGAAUCGAAUCAGAAAAGGAACAGAUGCAGAUUUUUGACUCAAAAGAAAUGAAGAGACACAAACAAAUGGAAGAAAGGUAUCUGCAGUGGAAUAACUCUAUCACUGGACAAUGGGAUGCAAAGAACACGGAGCAAUAGAUUCAAAUUGCAGGAAAAGAGAUUCCACUGAAACAUUGGAAGAACUUACUGAGAGCAAGAGCUGCUCAACCAUGGAAUAGGCUGCCUGCGGGUCUAAUGGCAUCUCCUUCUCUGGAGGUUUUUAAGCAGGGGCUAAGUGGCCAUCUCUCAGGAAUGUUUUGAUUGCAUUUUCUGCCAUGGCAGAUAUUGGACUGGAUGGCC